GGAAUAUAAGAACCUGUCUCUUAAUUUUUAACUAAAAAAACUAAGAACCGGUUCUUAAAUAAGAGUUUUAAGAGCCGGUUCUUAACUUUUUUAGUUAAAAGUUAAGAGACGAGUUCUUAUAUUCC
rnacentral:pre_miRNA from 1 species